AAGAGUUCCUUCACUUCCAAUCAUCAGACGGGUCAAAUCAUACCCUGCAGCACUCUUUCGAGCGCGAGAUGCUGUCUUGACAACAUCACCAUUGGGGAGGACUGCCUUAAGGUUGAUGACAUUGUCGCGCAUGGUACCAUACCUCACAGCUAGUGAACCAGAGCAUCGUGUGGCACACAUACCCCCAAUUGUUGCCCCAGGGCCUGGAUCAAGAGGAAAAAAU
rnacentral:misc_RNA from 1 species